rnacentral:rRNA from 1 species
AGAUAUAUAUAUACACACAUGCUAACGUAUCGGACCCAUCAGAACUCCGAAGUUAAACCUGCUUGGACGAGAGUAGUAAUGGAUGGAUAACCUCUUAGGAAGUCCUCAUAUUGUACCCA